rnacentral:rRNA from 1 species
UACGGGAGGCAGCAGUGGGGAAUAUUGCACAAUGGGCGCAAGCCUGAUGCAGCCAUGCCGCGUGUAUGAAGAAGGCCUUCGGGUUGUAAAGUACUUUCAGUCGUGAGGAAGGUGUUAAGGUUAAUAACCUUAGCAAUUGACGUUAGCGACAGAAGAAGCACCGGCUAACUCCGUGCCAGCAGCCGCGGUAAUACGGAGGGCGCGAGCGUUAAUCGGAAUUACUGGGCGUAAAGGGCACGCAGGCGGUUAAUUAAGUUGGAUGUGAAAUCCCCGGGCUUAACCUGGGAAUGGCAUUCAAGACUGGUUAGCUAGAGUCUUGUAGAGGGGGUAGAAUUCCAUGUGUAGCGGUGAAAUGCGUAGAGAUGUGGAGGAAUACCGGUGGCGAAGGCGGCCCCUGGGACAAAGACUGACGCUCAUGUGCGAAAGCGUGGGGAGCAAACAGGAUUAGAUACC